GCGGGAUUAGUAUAUUGGUAAUACAUCGGCUUCCCAAGCCGAGGAGACGGGUUCGAUUCCCGUAUCCCGCUCCA
rnacentral:tRNA from 1 species